rnacentral:rRNA from 1 species
AUGCUACCCCUCCCCCUGCGCCGCCACUUCCUCUCCUUCUACUCUCGCCGGAACCCUAGCUUCAUCCCCUUCUCUAUCCGCGCCACCGCCAUCUCCACCCUCCCAACCGACUCCUCCUCCUCCUCCUCCUCCGCCGCCGCCGCCACUCCAAUCUCCGACCGCCUCCGCCUCCUCCAGUCGCUCCAAGCCGUCCCCGCCAACCUCCUCCUCUCUCAUCCCCUCCCCUCCUCCGCCCACCUCUGCAUCGCGGCCCACCUCCUCGCCCGCGCCCGCCUCUUCCCCCAUUCCCGCAGCCUCCUCUCCCGCCUUCUCGCCCCCGGUCACCGGCCCCACCUCGCCGCCUCCCUCGUCGACCUCCUCCAUCGCGCGGCUCUCGCACUGGGGCCUCGCCGCAGCGCCCUGCCCUCCGUCGUCGACACCCUCCUCUCCCUCCUCGCCGACCGCGGCUUCCUCGACGGCGCCGUUCUCGCCCUUGGCCGUGUGCGGGAGCUGCGGGUGCCCCCUAACACCCGCACCUGCAACCACAUCCUCCUCCGCCUAGCCCGUGAGCGCCGCGGUGCGCUCGUCCGGCGGCUAUUUGAGCAGGUGCCUGCCCCCAACGUGUUCACGUUCAACAUCGUGAUCGAUUUCCUGUGCAAGGAAGGGGAGCUCGCUGAGGCGAGAGCAUUGUUCUCGAGGAUGAAGGCAAUAGGUUGCCCACCAGAUGUUGUCACAUACAAUUCGCUCAUUGAUGGGUGUGGCAAAUGCGGGGAGUUGGAAGAGGUGGAGCAGCUCGUCGGGGAGAUGAGGGGGUGUGGAUGCACACCAGAUGUUGUGACAUACAAUGCAUUAGUCAACUGCUUUUGCAAGUUUUGGAGGAUGGAAAGGGCAUACAGCUACUUUGCUGAGAUGAAGAGGGAAGGAGUGAUAGCAAAUGUAAGGACUUAUAGCACCUUUGUAGAUGCGUUCUGCAAGGAGGGGAUGGUAAGGGAGGCUAUGAAGCUGUUUGCGCAAAUGAGGAUCAGGGGGAUGGCACCGAAUGAGGUGACAUAUACAUGUUUGGUUGAUGGGACCUUUAAGGCAGGUAAGCUUGAUGAUGCCUUUGUUUUGAUUGAUGAAAUGGUGCAGCAAGGUGUGCCAUUGAAUGUGGUCACAUAUACUGUGCAAGUUGAUGGACUUUGUAAAGAGGGGAAGGUUGCAGAAGCGGAGGAUGUUUUUAGGCUGAUGGAGAAAGCUGGCGUCAGAGCCAACGAGUUGUUGUACACCACACUAAUUCAUGGGCAUUUUGUGAAUAAAAAUAGUGAGAGAGCGCUGGAUUUGUUGAGUGAGAUGAAGGAUAAAGGGAUGGAGCUUGAUGUUUCGCUUUAUGGUGCCCUCAUUUGGGGACUCUGUAAUCUUCAGAAGGUGGAUGAGGCUAAGAGUUUGUUAAAUAAAAUGGAUGAAUGUGGUCUGAAACCCAAUAAUAUCAUCUAUACGAAUAUAAUGGAUGCCUGCUUUAAAGAAGGAAAAGAGUCAGAGGCCAUUGCCCUGUUCCACAAGAUGCAGGAUUCCGGGUUCCAGCCUAAUGUUGUGACAUAUUCUGCAUUGGUUGAUGGUUUGUGCAAAUCAGGAUCAGUUGAUGAGGCAGUCUCACAUUUUAACAAAAUGAGAGACCUAGGGUUAGAGCCUAAUGUACAUACUUACACCGCUUUAAUUGAUGGUUUGUGCAAGAGUGGGUGCUUAACCAAGGCUGUGGGGUUGUUGGAUGAAAUGGUUGACAAGGGUUUGUCUUUGGACAAAGUUGUGUAUACAUCUCUUAUGGAUGGGUACCUGAAGCAGGGAAAUCUUCAGGAUGCCUUUGCACUCAAGGCCGAGAUGAUCAAUAGUGGUUUGCAGCUAGAUCUCUAUGGGUACACUUGUUUUCUAUGGGGAUUUUGUAAUUUAAAUAUGAUGCAAGAAGCUAGAGAAGUUCUUUCAGAAAUGAUUGGAAAUGGUAUUACUCCUGAUACGGUAAUUUACAACUGUCUGAUAAGCAAAUACAUGAAAUUGGGGAAUAUUGAGGAGGCAGCUAGUCUUCAGAAUGAAAUGGAAAGUGUGCUACCCUCUUUUACAAAUGGUGAUACUGCUCCUGGUUCUGAUGGUUAA